AAAAUUCUCCGGGGCAGGGUGAAAUUCCCGACCGGCGGUGAAAGCCCGCGAGCUCCUAAAAGGAGUUGAUCCGGUGAAAUUCCGGAGCCGACGGUGAAAGUCCGGAUGGGAGGAGAAGAGA
rnacentral:ncRNA from 1 species